rnacentral:rRNA from 1 species
UACAGAGGUCUCAAGCGUUGUUCGGAUUCAUUGGGCGUAAAGGGUGCGUAGGCGGCGCGGUAAGUCGGGUGUGAAAUCUCGGGCUUAACUCCGAAACUGCAUUCGAUACUGCCGUGCUUGAGGACUGGAGAGGAGACUGGAAUUUACGGUGUAGCGGUGAAAAUGCGUAGAUAUCGUAAGGAAGACCAGUGGCGAAGGCGGGUCUCUGGACAGUUCCUGACGCUGAGGCACGAAGGUCAGGGGAGCAAACGGG